ensembl:piRNA 21ur-8008 ncRNA
UUAUUUAGAGAGAUCUCGUUG